GUCUACAGCCAUGUCACCCUGAACACGCCUGAUUUCAUCAGGUCUCAGAAGCUAAGCAGGGUCAGGCCUGGUUAGUACUUAGAUGGAAGACCACCUAGGAAUACCAGGUGCUGUAGGCG
rnacentral:rRNA from 1 species